AAUCCAUGAUGCGGGCACCACUUAAGAAGGUCCUUGAAUCGUUCAUGUGACUCAAACAAUGUUUUUAAUUAUCCUUGCUUAAAUAUCGAGAUCUCCUUCCUGAUCAU